UACGGAGGGGGCUAGCGUUGUUCGGAAUUACUGGGCGUAAAGCGCACGUAGGCGGCUUUGCAAGUUAGAGGUGAAAGCCCGGGGCUCAACUCCGGAAUUGCCUUUAAAACUGCAUCGCUAGAAUUGUGGAGAGGUAAGUGGAAUUCCGAGUGUAGAGGUGAAAUUCGUAGAUAUUCGGAAGAACACCAGUGGCGAAGGCGGCGAUCUGGGUCGAUACGUGACGCUGAGGUGCGAAAGCGUGGGGAGCAAACAGG
rnacentral:rRNA from 1 species